UAAUCUGGCACUAGUUGUUGUUCUAGCAAGGAUCAUUUUGGGAAAUGGAAUAAUUAGAGGGUGUGAAUGCAAGACUGUGCAGUUCAUAUUUGGUGACUCCCUCUCUGAUGUUGGAAACAACAAAAGCCUUAAUAGAAGCCUUGCUCAGGCAAGCCUCCCUUGGUAUGGUAUUGAUUUUGGUAACGGAUUAUCCAAUGGACGAUUUACUAAUGGCCGGACUGUUGCCAAUAUUAUUGGUGACAAUACUGGCCUCCCUAGGCCUCCUGCAUUCCUAGACCCAUCUUCAACCCCAGAAAUUAUUCUAGAAAAUGGAGCGAACUAUGCUUAUAGUGGUGGUGGCAUUUUGAAUGAAACUGGGCAGUAUUUUAUCCAGAGGUUUUCUCUGUACAAACAAAUUGAGCUGUUUACAGGAAGCUCGAUAUGUUGUUGCAUUAGGGAGCAACGAUUUUAUCAACAAUUACUUGAUGCCUGUUUACAGUGAUUCAUGGACUUACAAUGAUGACACAUUCAUGGACUACUUGAUAGGAACACUUAGAGACCAACUCAGGGUUUAUUUUAUUAAUUAAUUUAGUUUAAUUAUUACUCUAACACAUACAACAAUUUCUUUUUUCCGAAAUUCUGUCAGCUAAUGACAAAAUUCUCGUGAAAAAAAAAAAUCAUGCGUACUAUUUUAUGAGGUACAAAUAAAUAUAAAGAGUGUAGUUAAUAUAUGUCUUAACGAUACAUGAUAAGAUUAUGUGCUAUUUCUCUAUCGGCGAUCUACACCUCCUCUGUUUAUGCGCGCCUCUUUCGUCUCGGGUC